rnacentral:rRNA from 1 species
GAUGAACGCUGGCGGCGUGCUUAACACAUGCAAGUCGAACGGAAAGGCCCAAGCUUGCUUGUGUGCUCGAGUGGCGAAAGGGUGAGUAACACGAGUGAGAUCUGCCCUGCACUUUGGGAUAAGCCUGGGAAACUGGGUCUAAUACCGGUUAUUCCCGUCGGUUCGUGUCGGUGGUGGAAAGUUUUUCGGUGGGGGAUGGAGUCGCGGCGGAUGAGCUCGCUGGUGGGGUAAUGGCCUACCGAGGCGUCGACGGGUAGCCGGCCUGAGAGGGUGUACGGCCACAUUGGGACUGAGAUCCGGCCCAGACUGCUGUGGGGGGCAGUGGUGGGGAAUAUUGCGCAAUGGGCGGAGGCCUGAUGCAGCGAAGCCGCGUGGGGGAUGACGGCCUUCGGGUUGUAAGCGCCUUUGGCCAAGGACGAAGCGUUUUGUGACGGUACUUGGAGAAGAAGCACCGGCUAACUACGUG